rnacentral:sRNA from 1 species
AAUAGAAACACUGGAACAGGCGAACACUUCACUUGUAGUAAUUGCGCGGGCGCGACCCCGCUACAAAAAAAUGGAUCGAAGAACCUAUUGUGUGAAAUAAAAAUGUGGUUGUAAAUCCUCUGCAUUGUUAUAGAUUGAUCGAUUUCAAUAUGGUUCUGGAAUAGCUGAUUGACGGACCAAACUUGAUGGUUGCAGAAUUCCCGCAAGUGGCAAACUCCGGAUGAGACGGACCAUACAUGGCAGCGCACAUCUUCUUCAUUUCCGGCGGAAUUUACUCAAAAAAAUUAAAAUAUGUAAUUAAAAUUGUAAUAAAAUAUCCACCAAUAUAGAA